rnacentral:rRNA from 1 species
AUUGAACGCUGGCGGCAGGCCUAACACAUGCAAGUCGAGCGAGCGGCGGAAGGGUGAGUAAUGUCUGGGAAACUGCCUGAUGGAGGGGGAUAACUACUGGAAACGGUAGCGAAUACCGCAUACCAUCAGAUGUGCCCAGAUGGGAUUAGCUAGUAGGUGGGGUAACGGCUCACCUAGGGGACGAACCCUAGCUGGUCUGGGAGGAUGACCAGCAAACGUGGAACUGAGACACGGUCCAGACUCCUACGGGAGGCAGCAGGGGGGAAUAUUGCACAAUGGGCGCAAGCCUGAUGCAGCCAUGCCGCGUGUGUGAAGAAGGCCUUCGGGUUGUAAAGCACUUUCAGCGGGGAGGCGUUACCCGCAGAAGAAGCACCGGCUAACUCCGUGCCAGCAGCCGCGGUAAUAC